rnacentral:sRNA from 1 species
AGCAGCCGCGGUAAUUCCAGCUCCAAUAGCGUAUAUUAAAGUUGUUGCAGUUAAAAAGCUCGUAGUUGAAUUUCGGGAUCAGUAUGUUGGUCAUGCCUUGGUAUGUACUGGUGUCACUGAUUCCUCCCUUCUGACGAACCUUCAUGCCAUUCACUUGGUGUGAUGGGAAAUCAGGACUGUUACUUUGAAAAAUUAGAGUGUUUAAAGCAGGCUCACGCUUGAAUACAUUAGCAUGGAAUAAUGGAAUAGGACGUUGAUCUUAUUUUGUUGGUUUCUAGGAUUGACGUAAUGAUUAAUAGGGAUAGUUGGGGGCAUUAGUAUUCAAUUGUCAGAGGUGAAAUUCUUGGAUUUAUUGAAGACUAACUACUGCGAAAGCAUUUGCCAAGGAUGUUUUCAUUAAUCAAGAACGAAAGUUAGGGGAUCGAAGACGAUCAGAUACCGUCGUAGUCUUAACCAUAAACUAUGCCGACUAGGGAUCGGAUGAUGUUAAUUUUUAAUGACU